GAUGAACGCUGGCGGCGUGCCUAAUACAUGCAAGUCGAGCGAACAGACGAGGAGCUUGCUCCUCUGACGUUAGCGGCGGACGGGUGAGUAACACGUGGAUAACCUACCUAUAAGACUGUGAUAACUUCGGGAAACCGGAGCUAAUACCGGAUAAUAUAUUGAACCGCAUGGUUCAAUAGUUAAAGACGGUUUUGCUGUCACUUAUAGAUGGAUCCGCGCCGCAUUAGCUAGUUGGUAAGGUAACGGCUUACCAAGGCAACGAUGCGUAGCCGACCUGAGAGGGUGAUCGGCCACACUGGAACUGAGACACGGUCCAGACUCCUACGGGAGGCAGCAGUAGGGAAUCUUCCGCAAUGGGCGAAAGCUUGACGGAGCAACGCCGCGUGAGUGAUGAAGGUCUUCGGAUCGUAAAACUCUGUUAUUAGGGAAGAACAAAUGUGUAAGUAACUAUGCACGUCUUGACGGUACCUAAUCAGAAAGCCACGGCUAACUACGUG
rnacentral:rRNA from 1 species